UUUAUUCAAAAUUAGGUUAUGGUGUCAAUGUAUAUACAUAUAUAUUCUUUACUACUCUCUUUUUUAUCUUAUUGCACGUGAAAUAUCCUUUCUCUUAUUCUAGUUUCUUGUUUGCUUUGCAGAAAUAGUAAUUGAGUUGUCUGAGAGAGAACUAAAGGUCAGAUAUUCAAUGUGGGUAGGUCUUACAAUGAGGUCUUAGUCAAAGCUGAAACUACUGGAGUGGAGUGGCUCUUGCUAGAAUAUUUCUGUAUUCAAGGCUGCUAGAGUGGCUUCGUGCGGAAUUACUAUAUUCAAAGGCGAAGUACAAAAAGCCACAAACAUAGUUUGAAGAAUUUUAAGAUUCUAGAAGACUAGUGAUAAGGGAACUUUGGGCAUUCCUCCAUAGAGGGAGAGUUGGGAAAGAGUUGGGAGUUUGCUUUUAUGUUUUAGU